rnacentral:lncRNA from 1 species
GGCCUGGAAUUCAUGGCACUUCUGGAGACAUGAGGUACCUUCAGUUUCAGAAAAUAAGAAGCAUGUGAAUCUCAUCUUGGGCAGAGCCAAAGCAUGCUAAGUGAGAAAUAGUCCUCCCACCAUGUGAGAGUACGCUGGGCUGCCUUUCCAUUUUAAAGAAUUGCCUUGGUGAGAUGUCUUCAGUUCUUCUGGCAAAGCUGUUUGCAUAUUAGCCCUGAAGCUUGUGCAGUGAGGCAGGAUAGAGGAAUGGGAACAGCUGGAGCCAGAGAGACCUGCUGGGAAUCUGGGCUCAGCCACUUUUGACCUGCAUGGUUUCUUGCAAGUCAGCUCAGAGCUGGACCAAAGCAGCUGUCGAUCCUUUGCCUCUUUGCACUUUGGAGCCCAGUCCUGAUGGGACCAGGUGUCAGAGCCCUGCCAAAUCUGUGAGAAGGGUGGAAGCAAGUUUCCCUGAGGGAAAAAAAAACAACAAAAAAAAACCUUCUGGAAUUGGGAAAAAUUUAGGUCAACAUCAUUUGAACCUUGACCUCUUGCUCUUUUGUCCCCGGGUGGACAUUUCCUUGACCUCCAGAAAUUCCUCCACCUCAAGGGAAGACUUCUUGCCCCCCUCACUUCCAGAGGCCUCCAAAGUGGGCUGGGAAGAGAUUUAAAGCAGGACCCUGGGAAGCAUGAUGAGACUCUGGAGUGUAGAGAGGCUUCCCUGCAAUGCAAAGAUCUUCAAAGGCCAAGCCCAAGGCACUGCAACCCCCAGGAGGGCCCACUCCAAAGCAGAACAGUGGAGGGAGAGCCUGCGUGUCAAGAAGCCUGGACAGCAAGACCCCCUACUGUGGCAGCCAGCCUGCUUGUAGGAGUCCUGAGAAGCCUAAUUCAAUUACCCUUAUCAGAAUGUCUCUGAACUUAACAAAGCAGAUAAUGAGUUCCAGAGACAGAUACUGCUUGGGGGGCCAAAAUUAUUUUGCUUCCCCAAAUUGGAGGCUGAAAUUGGAGAUGUUUGAAUAAUGGAAAACAUAAUCCUUCCCUAGGCCCAACCCCCUCCCAGUACCCACACCUGAGACACCCUUUCAACCAAGGAGCCUGGAUUCAACAUCCAUGCCGUCUCUCCUCCUGAAGACACCUGGUCAUGAACUCGACCUCUUUCCCCCACCAUCUUUGUGCCAUCGAUGGAAGGAAGCUGCGUACAGGAUGGAAGUGGGAGGGGAAAGGGAUUAACAUUUAUGGAGCCCUCCCCUCUAUGUGUCAGCUACAUAACACAUAGCAUUCAUUUCAACCACAGAACAUAUGUCUUUACAUUACAGAAGGCAACGGAGAACUGGAAAAGUUAACUUACUGCCUGAGGACCCAUCCCCAUCUCACCAGCAGCACAGUCAGAUUCAGACACAGGUAUUCAACUUUGCAACACACUGUGCCUCACGGCCUGUGUGCUCAACAUCAGAAAUCAAAUAGAAACUCCCUCAUUCUAAGAUUCAUAGCCAUCCUCCGAGAUAUGACAUAGCGACCUCUCCUCCGUGAACAGGGAAACAGACUGAGAGGAUAACCUAACUCUCCCAAGGCCAGAGUAUCCACUGGGAUAUGCAGCCAAGUCAGCCAGCAGUUGAAACAAGGGCUCUCUGUGCUAUCUCACAUCUGAAUUGAAUUGUUUCCUACAGACUUCUCAUAGCUCUCUAGGCAAGGAAUACAUCUUCUCACCUUCCCACACUAAGAAAGGCCUCUGUCUGAGCCUGGGUGCCGGGUGGCCAGGAUUCCUGCUGAACGUUCAGGAGCUUUCCAUCUCCAGAGGUGAGCUCCUAGUUCCUGCUUACCUUAGAACUGUAGAACAUAUAAUGUUACCACUGAAAAGAACCUCUCGUAUAGUUGGAUCACACCCUUUACCUAUUUAUUUAAAUGUACUGUUUUAAUUAUGUAACAUUUGAUAUGUGCAGGAUAAUAUGUAUGCAAAUUAUAAAGCAUAAUAAUAAAACCUGUGAACCCACCACUCAACCUUAGAACCAGACCAUUACAAUUGAUGUCCCUCCUACUUCCCCAACAGAAAUAACCACUGUCCGGGACUUUAUGUUUAUAGCCCCACCCCCCACAAUGAUUUUUAUAGUUUUGCCAAAUAUGUUAGCAUGGUAGAUUGCAUUAUUGCUCUGAGUUAAAUAUCCUUCCUUUGACAUAUAAUUUGGCAGUUCCUUCCAUUGGAAGUGAAAUACAUUUCUCUGCCCAAGAUGUUAGAUUUGCUUUGGUCAGUAGAAUGUUGCAGGCUGUGACGGUGAAAAUUCUGAGCCCAGGCCUUAAGAGGAAUCACCUGUUUCCACAUUCCCCACUUGUAUUUCUGCCUCUGCCAUGAGAAAAACAUGCUUCAGGUCACCUGCUGCUCCAAGGAGGAUGAGAGACCUAUGGGGAAGACCUGGACCCAAUCUGAAGUUAGAACUAAGUGCAACUGAGCCCAGCCUGGAUUAACCAACUCCCAGCCAAUCCACAGACACCUGGCUCUGCGAAGGCACGCGCUGAAAAUCACACAGCUGGAAAUGGUGAAUCCAAGCUGCCCAGUACCAGAGGGCGGGCACUUAACCCUCCACACACCCCAGUCUUUCCAGUAGAAACUACCUCAACAGGCUGUGGUAGGAGUUAGACGAGAUGACACAUAUGAAUCACUUGGACACCAUGUUCAGCAAGUGGGACCUCCUGACAGCAUAAGAAGUUCAGAGCUCAAAGACUUUAACCUGUCCAAACUUCAGCACUAAGGGAGACCGAUUAUGCUGUAUGACCUUGGGAAAAUCACCUCACUUCUGGGCCUCAGUUUCCACGCAUGUAAAAUGGGGAUAAAGAAACAACCCAGCUCCUGGGAUUGAUAUGAAGACUGCAUGAGAUGAUACGCAGGACACCCGUGGCACAAUGCAGGGCUUGCAGUAAGAGCUCAAUAAAUACCACCUGCUAUUUGUCUAUAAGUGUGUUUAGCAACAUCUUUGAAUGGAAUCAUAUUGUGCAUUACUUUUUGUAACUUUUUUUCACUCAUUUAGUGUGAUCAUUAAAUAUCCUUCGAG